rnacentral:rRNA from 1 species
GACGAACGCUGGCGGCGUGCUUAACACAUGCAAGUCGAACGAGUGGCGAACGGGUGAGUAACACGUGGGUGCUCUGCCUUGCACUUCGGGAUACGCCUGGGAACCUGGGCCUAAUACCGGUAAGUGCCAGAUGAGCUCGGGGCCAAUCGGCUAGUUGGUGGGGUAAUGGAUACCAAGGCGCGACGGGUAGCCGGCCUGGGAGGGUGUACGGCCACAUUGGGACUGCGAUACGGCCCAGACUCCUACGUGAGGCAGCAGGGGGGAAUAUUGCACAAUGGGCGGAAGCCUGAGGCAGCGACGCUGGGGGGGGGAUGAAGGCCUUCGCGUUGGAAACGCCUUUCGACAGGGACGCGGUACCUGUAUAAGAAGCACCGGCUAACUACGUGCCAGCAGCCGCGGUAAUUC